rnacentral:rRNA from 1 species
AUGGCGACGAUGGGGAGCCUGAUCGGGCUGGUGAACCGGAUCCAGCAGGCGUGCACCGUGCUCGGCGACCACGGCGGCGGCGCCGGGGGCUCGCUCUGGGAGGCGCUCCCCUCCGUCGCCGUCGUCGGAGGCCAGAGCUCCGGGAAGUCGUCGGUGCUCGAGAGCAUUGUCGGGAGGGACUUCCUGCCCCGUGGAUCUGGGAUCGUGACGAGGAGGCCUCUGGUGCUGCAGCUGCACAAGACGGAGGGCGGCCAGGAGUACGCCGAGUUCCUCCACGCCCCGCGGAAGCGCUUCUCCGACUUUGCUGCUGUUAGGAAAGAGAUUGCUGAUGAAACUGACCGCAUGACUGGAAAAUCGAAAGCAAUAUCAAAUGUUCCUAUCCAUUUGAGUAUAUAUUCUCCACAUGUUGUUAACUUGACACUUAUUGAUCUUCCUGGCCUGACAAAGGUUGCUGUAGAGGGGCAGCCAGAGUCUAUUGUGCAAGAUAUUGAAAACAUGGUCCGGACUUACGUUGACAAGCCAAACUCUAUUAUAUUGGCUAUCUCUCCAGCAAACCAAGAUAUAGCAACAUCAGAUGCUAUCAAGCUUGCUAAGGAAGUGGAUCCUACAGGUGAAAGGACCUUUGGAGUUGUAACAAAACUUGAUUUGAUGGACAAGGGUACCAAUGCUAUUGAUGUACUCGAAGGGAGGUCAUAUCGCUUGCAGCACCCCUGGGUGGGCAUUGUCAACCGUUCGCAGGCUGAUAUCAACAAAAAUGUUGACAUGCUCGCAGCACGUCGCAAAGAACAAGAGUACUUUCAAAGUAGUCCUGAUUAUGGUCACUUGGCACAUAAAAUGGGUGCCGAGUAUCUUGCUAAGCUUCUGUCACAGCAUUUAGAGGCUGUGAUCAAAGCCAAAAUUCCAAGUAUUAUAUCAAUGAUCAACAAGACAGUUGAUGAAAUUGAAGCUGAGUUGGAUCGACUUGGUAGGCCAAUUGGAGGUGACGCUGGGGCACAAUUGUAUACGAUAUUGGACAUGUGUCGCGCAUUUGACCGUGUUUUUAAAGAGCACUUAGAUGGCGGUCGACCAGGUGGAGAUCGCAUUUAUGGUGUCUUUGACCACCAGUUACCUGCAGCACUGAAAAAGCUUCCUUUCGAUAAACAUCUUUCAUUGCAAAAUGUUCGAAAAGUCAUUUCUGAGGCUGAUGGUUACCAGCCCCAUUUGAUUGCUCCUGAGCAAGGUUACAGAAGGCUUAUAGAUAGUUCACUCAGCUACUUUAGGGGCCCAGCUGAAGCUUCAGUUGAUGCGGUCCAUUUGGUAUUGAAGGAGCUAGUCCGGAGAUCGAUUGCAGCAACAGAGGAAUUAAAGCGUUUCCCAACGCUUCAAUCAGAUAUAGCUGCAGCAGCAAAUGAAAGCCUAGAAAGAUUCCGUGAGGAUGGACGAAAGACAGUUAUUCGUCUAGUUGACAUGGAGGCCAGUUACCUAACAGUAGAAUUCUUCAGGAAACUUCCUACUGAGCCAGACAAAGGAGCUAACAACAACACUCCGGCCAACGACAGAUAUCAGGACAACCAUCUUAGAAGAAUCGGAUCAAAUGUAUCAUCUUACAUCAACAUGGUUUGCGAUACAUUGAGGAACACAAUUCCGAAAGCCGUUGUGCAUUGUCAAGUGAAGGAGGCAAAAAGAAACUUGCUCAACCGUUUCUAUGCGCAUGUAGGAAGCAAAGAGAAGAAACAGCUGAGCGCGAUGCUGGACGAGGAUCCCGCGUUGAUGGAGAAGAGGGAUUCCCUCGUGAAGAAGCUGGAGCUGUACAAGUCCGCUAGGAACGAGAUCGACUCGGUUGCAUGGAAAUGA